UACAGAGGUCUCAAGCGUUGUUCGGAUUCAUUGGGCGUAAAGGGUGCGUAGGCGGCGCGGUAAGUCGGGUGUGAAAUCUCGGGGCUUAACUCCGAAACUGCAUUCGAUACUGCCGUGCUUGAGGACUGGAGAGGAGACUGGAAUUUACGGUGUAGCGGUGAAAUGCGUAGAUAUCGUAAGGAAGACCAGUGGCGAAGGCGGUUCUCUGGGCCUUACCUGACACUGAGGAGCGAAAGCCAGGGGAGCAAACGGG
rnacentral:rRNA from 1 species